UGUUCUAGAAACUCCGAUUGCGAAGGCCAGCUCACCUAAGCUGGUAUUGACGCUGAUGCACGAAAGCCGUGGGGAUCGAACAGGAUUUAGAUACCCUUGGUAGUCCACGCCCUAACCGAUGAUAACUCGAUGUUGGGCGAUAGACAGCCCAGCGUCUUAGCGAAAGCGUUAAGUUAUCCACCUGGGGAGUACGCCCGCAAGGGUGAAACUCAAAGGAAUUGACGGGGGCCCCGCACAAGCGGAGGAGCAUGUGGUUUAAUUCGAUGAUACGCGAGGAACCUUACCCGGGCUUGAAAGUUAGUGAAGGUAGCAGAGACGCUACCGUCCUUCGGGACACGAAACUAGGUGCUGCAUGGCUGUCGUCAGCUCGUGCCGUGAGGUGUUGGGUUAAGUCCCGCAACGAGCGCAACCCCUAUGUUUAGUUGCCAGCAUGUAGUGGUGGGGACUCUAAACAGACUGCCUGCGCAAGCAGCGAGGAAGGUGGGGACGACGUCAAGUCAUCAUGGCCCUUACGUCCGGGGCUACACACGUGCUACAAUGGAUGGUACAGCGGGCAGCUAGCUGGCAACAGCAUGCUAAUCUCUAAAAGCCAUUCACAGUUCGGAUUGGGGUCUGCAACUCGACCCCAUGAAGUUGGAUUCGCUAGUAAUCGCGUAUCAGCAAUGACGCGGUGAAUACGUUCCCGGGCCUUGUACACACCGCCCGUCAAGCCAUGAAAGUUGGGGGUACCUAAAGCAUGUGACCGCAAGGAGCGUGUCAGGGUAAAACCGAUAAUUGGGGCUAAGUCGUAACAAGGUAACCAAGGGCGAAU
rnacentral:rRNA from 1 species